rnacentral:lncRNA from 1 species
GCAGCGGAACUGAGCUGGGGGGGGGGGUGGCUUGGGCAGGGGGUGCCUUUGAGGGGCAGGGUGGGCAGAGGUCCCUUGGGUGCGGGGUCCUGGGGCCGGGGGGCCCUGUCCUGUCCUGUGUCACCAGGAGCUGGUGAGUGGAGACCGUGCCCAGCAGUGCCUGCAGUGGGGCCACUGCUCCCCACUGGGUCUAUCCCCGUGCCCCUUUCCCUUCCCCACACCCCGUUCUCACCCACACAGUGCCCUGCGUCCUCACCCCCGUUAUGUUUCCAGCACGCUUUGUUCCCAGAUGUUUAAUUUCAGCUCCAGCGCUGGGUUUCCAGCCCGGUCCCAGCUCCAGGCACUGCACACACCUGAUGCUCCAGCUCAUUUCAGCGCUGCCUAAUUACAGCUCGUGCCCUGCAGCUCAGCUCCACGCGGGCUGCUCCAGGUAAGAGAUGCUCUAGCUUCUCACAACUCCAGCUGAGCAGUGUUUUCAUCUCACCCUGCACCCCAGGAUUUAUUUACACCCAGAUCUUCAUUUUCAGCUCAUGCCCUGCAGUUGAGCUCCAGGUCUACAUUUUUAAUUCAGGCCCUGAGUUCCAGGCCUUCAUUCAGCCCCAGCCCUGCAUCUCAGUACGCACCAGCUCGUGCCCUGCCGGCCAGCUCCAGCUCUCACGGCUCAGCUCCAUCCCUGUGGCUCAGCCCCAGAGGCCGCACGCUGCAGGUAAGAGAUGCUCGGGCUUCUCCCAGCUCCAGCCACCUGAUGCUGUUUUGCCUUGUGUUUUACCACCAGCACACUGUUUUCAGCUCAUAUCCCUGUGUUCCAUGCCUGGAUCUCCAUUCUCAGUCAUGACCUGUGUCUUCAGCUCAUGCCAGUGUAUAGAUAGUGGCUGACACUUAUUUAAUUGUGAUUUUGUUCCUGGGUUUCACCACCAGGAUGCUGUUCUCAGUUCACAUUUUAGCUUGUGCCUGCUGUUUCCACCUUGGGUCUUUAUUUUCUUUGUGACCUGUGAUUUCAGCUCAUGCCAUUGUACAAAUAUAUAAGCCUGUGGCCCCUGUUUCCUCCCUCCAGAUCUUUUUUUUCAGUUUGUGUCCUGCAUUUCAGCUCCAGCCCCUGGACGCUCUGGUUCCUUUCAGUCUGAGCUCCCCAGCUGGGCACUAGCAGUGAUGCUCAGCAUCCAACCACCUGUUUUGAGCAGGUUCUGACAAGGCCAUAAAUCCAUCGCUGCCAUAACUGGGGUACCAACAUUAACCACCACACCUGUACGCUGCGUAAAUAGUGCCUGGCACAAGCACCAAAUAAAGAGUUGAACUGCAAAGUCGCCUUUGGCGCC